AUUUAAGUAGCUUAUAUUUAGAGUAUAGUUUUGAAGCAGCUAGGGAAAUUUUAUAAAAUUCUUAAAUA
rnacentral:tRNA from 1 species